AAUAGAUACCCGGGUAGUCCACGCCGUAAACGAUGAGUGCUAAGUGUUAGAGGGUUUCCGCCCUUUAGUGCUGCAGCUAACGCAUUAAGCACUCCGCCUGGGGAGUACGACCGCAAGGUUGAAACUCAAAGGAAUUGACGGGGGCCCGCACAAGCGGUGGAGCAUGUGGUUUAAUUCGAAGCAACGCGAAGAACCUUACCAGGUCUUGACAUCCUCUGACCUCCCUGGAGACAGGGACUUCCCCUUCGGGGGACAGAGUGACAGGUGGUGCAUGGUUGUCGUCAGCUCGUGUCGUGAGAUGUUGGGUUAAGUCCCGCAACGAGCGCAACCCUUGACCUUAGUUGCCAGCAUUCAGUUGGGCACUCUAAGGUGACUGCCGGUGACAAACCGGAGGAAGGCGGGGAUGACGUCAAAUCAUCAUGCCCCUUAUGACCUGGGCUACACACGUGCUACAAUGGAUGGUACAAAGGGCAGCGAGACCGCGAGGUUAAGCCAAUCCCAUAAAACCCAUUACUCAGUUCGGAUUGCAGGCUGCAACCCC
rnacentral:rRNA from 1 species